GUCCACGCUGUAAACGAUGUCAAUUAGCCGUUGGGUAUCUUGUAUACUUGGUGGCGUAGCUAACGCACUAAAUUGACCGCCUGGGGAGUACGGCCGCAAGGUUAAAACUCAAAUGAAUUGACGGGGGCCCGCACAAGCGGUGGAGCAUGUGGUUUAAUUCGAUGCAACGCGAAGAACCUUACCUGGUCUUGACAUCCUGCGAACUUUCUAGAGAUAGAUAGGUGCCUUCGGGAGCGCAGUGACAGGUGCUGCAUGGCU
rnacentral:rRNA from 1 species